AAACCAUGCAUAGGAUAUUUCCUAAGUAAUUCUUUAAAUCUUUCCUAAGAUUCAUAUAGUGUUUCAUCCUCUAAUUGUCGAAAAGAUGUUAUGUUUUUUAUGAGCUU
rfam:Gossypium arboreum cultivar AKA8401 contig_27798_1, whole genome shotgun sequence.